UACGUAGGGGGCGAGCGUUGUCCGGAUUCAUUGGGCGUAAAGAGCUCGUAGGCGGCUUGGUAAGUCGGGUGUGAAACCUCCAGCUCAACCUGGAGACGCCACUCGAUACUGCCAUGGCUAGAGUCCGGUAGGGGCCCACGGAAUUCCUGGUGUAGCGGUGAAAUUCGUAGAUAUUCGCAAGAACACCAGUGGCGAAGGCGGCUCACUGGCCCGAUACUGACGCUGAGGCACGAAAGCGUGGGGAGCAAACAGGG
rnacentral:rRNA from 1 species